AAUGAAAUGCCCGAAAAUAAGGAUUAUUUUGAUAGAAUAAAAAAUGUAAAUUAAUUUACUUUCAUUA
rnacentral:tRNA from 1 species